rnacentral:rRNA from 1 species
ACGAACCGUGCGAACGUUGUUCGGAAUCACUGGGCUUAAAGGGUGCGUAGGCGGAAUGGCAAGUCGGAGGUGAAAGCCCCCAGCUUAACUGGGGAAGUGCCCUCGAUACUGCUGUUCUCGAGAGAGGUAGGGGCGUGUGGAACUUCCGGUGGAGCGGUGAAAUGCGUAGAUAUCGGAAGGAACGCCGGUGGCGAAAGCGAUGCGCUGGACCUUUUCUGACGCUGAGGCACGAAAGCUAGGGGAGCGAACGGGAUUAGAUACCCCGGUAGUCCUAGCCCUAAACGAUGGGUACUGGGUUGCGGGUCAGACAUGGACUCGCAGCCGAAGCAAAAGUGGUAAGUACCCCGCCUGGGGAGUAUGGUCGCAAGGCUG